GAGGCUUGCCUCUUGGGGUUGUAGGACACUCAACAUGGAGUUACAAAGGAACGGGGUAAAUGAAGCGACCUGGAAAGGUCCGUCGAAGAAGGUAAAAACCCUGUAGUUGAAACUUCGUUCCCUCCUGAGUGGAUCCUGAGUACGGCGGGACACGAGAAAUCCCGUCGGAAGCAGGGAGGACCAUCUCCCAAGGCUAAAUACUCCCUAGUGACCGAUAGUGAACCAGUACCGUGAGGGAAAGGUGAAAAGCACCCCGGAAGGGGAGUGAAAGAGAUCCUGAAACCGUGUGCCUACAAGUAGUCAGAGCCCGUUAACGGGUGAUGGCGUGCCUUUUGUAGAAUGAACCGGCGAGUUACGAUCCCAUGCAAGGUUAAGCUGAUAAGGCGGAGCCGUAGCGAAAGCGAGUCUGAAUAGGGCGCAUGAGUACGUGGUCGUAGACCCGAAACCAGGUGAGCUACCCAUGUCCAGGGUGAAGUUCAGGUAACACUGAAUGGAGGCCCGAACCCACGCACGUUGAAAAGUGCGGGGAUGAGGUGUGGGUAGCGGAGAAAUGCCAAUCGAACCUGGAGAUAGCUGG
rnacentral:rRNA from 1 species